GGAGGAAUCCAGAACCACUGAAGGACUUCAGAAUGGAGACAGUCUGCAAACACAGAAUCCAGAGGCUCAGGGAGAAGCUUGACAUUCUGCCAGAGGAUGACGCUGGAAGGCUGUGGAUCUGAAUGCUUAAAGGGAGGUUUAUUUUUAUUCCUCCAGGACUUCCACUCGACUGCCAAAGAGUGCUGCGGAGAUGUUGCUAUCUCUACUACAACCUCGAAUCAGGAGACACCAAGAACAAGUGUUGGCCUGCCCUUCUUCAGAAGAAACCCAAGUGGUUACUUAGAGAAGAAAUAUUUGCUUGAAAUGUUGGAAGCUGCCGGUGCAGUGUAAUGGGGCUCAGCUUUUGUUUGAGAAGGCCUGGGUCCAAACUGCUAUUCAGCCUGGAAGCCCCACUGGGUAACCUUGGGCCAGUCACUAUCCUAACAAGGAAUCAAACCUCUUUUUUCCCAGAGAAGCAAGCCGGAGUGGACAGUAGCUGGUCAAAACCUUGUGGAAAUAAAAUGGACCUCUUGGAUGGAGUACAGCAAAAAGACCUUGCAGAUUUCUUCCAUCCAUGCAGCUGCCUCUGUUCUUUGGAGCAGUCUCUGCUGCAUUCUGUUAACUGCCUUUACUUUUGGGAAGGGAGGUGAGUAAACUUUUAUGGCUGCUGAGUUCAAAACGCAAUGCAUUUGGAGGAGCUGCCUCUGACUCUGUGGUCUUCAGUUGGAGGGUAGAGACAUUACAAACAUAUAAAGUCUGUCCUUAUUUUUUUUCCUGUGUAAUAUUGGAGGUUAUGACUGUGCAAUCUACUUCCAGAAGAGGAGGAGAAGAGUGUCUUCCUGGCACUUAAGACAACUGGAAAUAAAAUCACACACACAUCUA